UUCCAGUUCAUCUACACAGCUGCCGUCUCUAUGUUUGAACAAUUCCUGCAGACAUCUGCGGAGCAGGUCUACAGCAACCUACAGAAAAAGAAAACCACAACAGCUGCAUCUUCCAGCAACAGGUUUGGGGUAUCCCUUUGGCCUCUCCCCUGCUACAAUUCCCCUGUGGGAGAGGUCGGUGUCAUUUAUUUUCCAAAAACUAAUUAUAUCUUUAUCCACCCUGAUGUUUCUGAGUGUGUGUU